rnacentral:rRNA from 1 species
CCUACGGGAGGCAGCAGUGGGGAAUAUUGCACAAUGGGGGAAACCCUGAUGCAGCGACGCCGCGUGAGCGAAGAAGUACCUCGGUAUGUAAAGCUCUAUCAGUAGGGAAGUAAAUGACGGCACCUGAGUAAGAAGCUACGGCUAAAUACGUGCAAGCAGCCGCGGUAAUACGUAGGGAGCCAGCGUUAUCCGGAUUUACCGGGCGUAAAGGGAGCGUAGGCGGCCUGACAAGUCUGAUGUGAAAGUCCGGGGCUCAACCGCGGGGCUGCAUUGGAAACUGGCAGGCUGGAGUGCCGGAGAGGCAGGCGGAAUUCCUAGUGUAGCGGUGAAAUGCUUAGAUAUUAGGAGGAACACCGGUGGCGAAGGCGGCCUGCUGGACGGUGACUGACGCUGAGGCUCGAAAGCGUGGGGAGCAAACAGGAUUAGAUACCCCAGUAGUC